ensembl:lncRNA
CUUUGACCGAUGUAGAAUUCAUCACCUGACAUUACGGAUCCGAGAUCCCACUGGUGUUGUUUGUUUGCUGCUUCUCCACCUGAGAAUUCAUUAGUUUCUGCACUCUAGCAAUUUUUUUAAUAGACUCUUUAUCUUGCCUUUGGCUCAACAGUUUUUUGGACAUAUUCACAUCGCUACUUUGAGGGAUGUUUGUGGUUACAUACCUCUAUAGACAAUCCUGCGACACCAGCUAAUGUCACAGCUACACAAGCUUCCUUUCUGGCAAAGUGUUUGGACCGCCACACCUGACAAAAGCUAUCCUCAGCUCACACUUCCCAGCUCAUACCUGGACUUCUGGACCAUUCCAUCUCUGCAGCUGCUUAGUGCUGUCUGCUACUGAAACCUCAUUCACACCAGGCACAGCAAACUAUGCGUUCCAGUCCAUAUCGCAUCGUUGCGGCUAACUUACUGUACUCGGACAGAUUUGGACGUUAUUGGAGUUAUUUUUCCAACUUGGGUGGUGCUUUUCCUUACAGUGUCAGAAACUGAAGUUGAUGUACCAACAAAGAAGAGCUAAUAUGUGGAUUCAACUAUGUUUAUAGGUUCACAAAAAAAGGUUUGGCAGCUCAAUAUGUGUAGUAGCCUACAAAAAGUUUAAGACUUAUGCUUAAUAUUUGAGGGGGCCAUUUCCUAGACCCAAGUAGUUAAAUAUUUGAGCCUAUACAGUAUAUAGCCUGCGUGACUUCACAUUUUUCAUUUCAUUUACUAAAAUAAAACCUAAAUUCAAAGAGCUCCUGCUCGUCUAACAAAAUGAGUCUCUCCUCUUUGCAAUAAUGGUUUUGACGAUGUGGAAGAUUGAUUGCAAUGUUUUCAUAGAUUGAUUGCGAUGUUUGUGUUAAGGUACAGUAAUUUUAGACCGUGCUUGGUGUGAACAAUUGCGAGUUCAAUCCCAGUGCAGUAAGCCCUUGGCUGGGCCUGCUCUCUCAGUUUGCUAGCAGUAAGGCAUUUAACAUUGUGCUAAUCAUCCUCCCUGGCUAACAUGAUGCUAAAAUACUCCACCUUGCAAACUCUCAAACGUAACAACUACUCCACUCCACCUCUGUGCAUUUCAGCCAUCUGUGCAUAAACAAUCCAUAAACAAGGACCUCAUCCUCAGUAAAUUUAUUUUGGACAAUAAACUUGACUUUCUCUGUCUGACCGAAACCGGCCAAAAACCCUUGAAAUACUUCUCUCUCAACCAGACUGCACCUGUUGCAUUCACCUACAUGGAAAAACCACUCCAGGGUGGGCGUCGUGGUGGAAUAGUGACAUUGCAUCUACAAAACAUCAAAACCAGAGCAAUAUCCAUUCCCACACACUCCUCAUUUGAGCACCCCAGAUAGCAAAAAAUAUCUGCAUGGCUUCUUUUUGCCGCCGGCCCUAAGCUGUCUGCUAUAGGUGCGUCUGGCUGGCGGGGAUGAAACGGCGAGAUGCCGUUUCAUCCUGCAAGAUGCCGCUGGCGAUCAUCCGGCGGUCCGACUGCUUCAUUUUCUCUGGCGGUUGCCUCGGUCUAACGGACCACGGCCGUCUGUCGGCAAGCCGCUUUGAAAUACAAGGCUACUCUCAAAAUCGACAAGCCAUGUUGUUUUGGACAGACAUUCGCAUCAGUUCGUCACUCAAUCGCGAGUACAUGUUUCCUUUUUGUGUAAAGCAAUAUUAUGUAUACAUUUUUAUUUAUUUAUAUAUUUAAAAUCUGUAGUCUUUGUUCUUGCCUAACUAGUCAAGCUAAAGUAGCCUUGUUUACGCAAUGUUGCUAGUACAUGUAGAAAUGUAACUAGCUACUGUAGGUAACCAAAGCUUUACAUCUAGAAAGACUAAGUUUAACCCUUGGUGUUCUCUUACAAAAAUAACGAUAUAUAUAGGUUGUUUAAAUUAUUUUGUUUGCCUGAACAAAUAUGUUAGCUAGCACAUGCUGUUUUGCCUUUGUUACAGUACACACUGUGCCUAGCAAGUUUUGUGAUGUGUUGCUACUGUACUGGAUUUAAGGCAAUUGUGAUUUUCAAUCAUUUUGGUUUUUAAGGUAAAUGCAUUGUUAGUCACAAUGUCUAGUUACUGGACCAAAAGCAAAAUAAUUUUGAAAGGAGUUGAGAGGGACAAAGAAUGCUCUUUCUGUUAUUCCCGACUUUGACCAAGUAAAUCCUCAUGUUAAUGAACAUCAACAUGGAAUGGCUUUCUGUUUAUGGUGCAUAACUGACUCUUUCAUUCAUUAUUCCUUGAUCUAGAAUCUUGGCAAGAGGCGAUGAGAAAUUUGGUGUGCUUCCAAAUAGGUUGCAGUGUUGAAACGACGGAUGAUGACAAGAAGGAAAAGCAAAAGAGAAUCUCAAAUUCCAAGUACAGACCCCAGGCCUCUUAUGAUGAAGUGGAGUCUAGUCUUCCAGAUGCACCAGCUGUCAUUUUGACAACCUCUUUUGAGAUUUGAAAACAUUGUUCCCGGUAACGAGGUUUCACUGCUGCCCCAUGCUCCAGAAGUUGCAUCGAUUCCAGAAAACCAGGAAAAUGUUGAGCCAUCUGUAGACUUCAGAGCUGGAAUGUAAAAUGUAUUGCUGUGAUACUUAAUUUGUGAUCCUGCAACUAAACUAUACCCUUUGUUAGAUUUUCAAAUUUCUGAACCAGGUUUCUCCCUAUUAAUCCAGACUCCACUUCACAGAUCCAAGAGUUUGAGUACAACUCGUCAAAUACUAAGCUUUACACCCCCAGCA